rnacentral:rRNA from 1 species
AUGGCUCAGUGAGGCCUUGGGAUUGGCCAGGGGAGAUGGGCAACCAUCACCCCAGGCCGAAAACUUGGUCAAACUUGGUCAUUUAGAGGAAGUAAAAGUCGUAACAAGGUUUUUGAUUCUUCCAAUGGUGAACGUCAUUCAGGAAGCCUUUGUCGCCCGAAAGGGUGUAUGUACCGCGACUCUAAAUAAGUAAGUAUAUCAAGGACAAGUCGGUCUGUCUUACAGGCACCGGCGACGCUGUCAAAUUGCGGGGAUUCCCUUACAGCUUUCACUACUAAGCGACAUUCUGAAAGGGUGUCGUGGCCAGGGUAAUUCCCUCGGGUAUAGUCACAACGUGGAAGAUUGGGUGACCUGCAGCCAAGUCUGUGGUGGUGGUGAUCUUGUGCAUAUGAGCGACGUUUGGCUCAAGGCCAGUGUCGGUCCUAGUCUAGUGGGUCGCUCCUUCCUCAUUUGGUUCUUUCCUUUUUUGAGGAGGUUUUGCACUUGGGGAAAAAAUCCGUUGGAUUUUUCUCUCGACGAGGUUACUAAACCAUGGAUGCUGUUCACAGGCCAAAUGGUAGCGGGUUCGACCCCUGUCGAGCUCAAGAUAUGGUCGGUCCUGCGGGGAAACCCGUGGGGAGUUCACUUAGUAGUUGGCUCAUCACACCAAGUUAGAAGCAUGGGGAAAAUGAAACUUUGGAUCAUUUCACUCGGCUCGGGGCAAACUUCACUCAAACUAUUCUUUCAGAGGGUAAUACGUCUACUAGUGGGAACAGAGAAACAGAGGCACAGUGAGUUGAUGUGUAUAUUGUAUUAAUGUUGUGAUUAACUAUAUACAAUUUAUUUGGUCAACAAGGGCCUGGAGUCAGAGUCACGAUGGUGGUGACAUUAUGUCAACCAGUUCGGUUGUUAUCCGAGACCGGUCGACAGCUGACUCCUCCUCCAGAGCCCGCCAGAACGACAGUAUAUACUCGCAAUUCCCCCAUGGAGGUAAUUGCACAAAGGAGAAUAGAAUGAGUGACUAAAAGUUUGUUUUGAGUUUUGAAUGAAUGACUGAAGUUGGUUUUCCAAAAGAAAACGAAAGACUCCCAAAAUGAGUGUUAGAGAGCGAUGAAGAAAUGUUUAGGAAAUUUGGGAGAAGAUGUCUGGUAGAUAUCCCCUCCGACUGCUGUUCCGCAAGGAAGGAGCAGAAGGCAUUUUUGGCAAGGUAAGAACGUGUGUGAGUGUGGAAGGAACACGAAAAAGAUUUGCCCUGCUCCUUCCUUUCCCAUGGGACGAGGAAGGAGUAUAUCUUCUUGAUCUGUACCUUCCCUUCCUACCCUUUGGCAUCUUGGCAUUUCUGCUCACAGAAAACCUCGGACAGGGAAGGAACCAAGACGUGUAGUCGCUCCUGCCGCAUAGAAAUAAAAUGCUGAGCAAAAUGUCUAAGUCCACGUCUUCUGCCGCAUAGAAAAUAAAAUGCUGAGCAAAAUUCCUAAGUCCACGUCUUCAGAGAUCUGUCCAAUAUAUACUCUAAGGGGUCGAAUCAUUUCUCUCAUGGCUCUUCGGUGUGAUGAGUUAAGUACUAGUAACAAGUCAAUGUUCCGUAGGUGAACCUGCGGAAGGAUCAUUACCGAGUUAGGGUUCUCUCCUGAGGCCCGACCUCCCAACCCUGUGUCUAACAAACCUGUGUGUGUUGCUUCGGUGGACCGGCAGUCCCCUCACGGGGGUCCGUCGCCGGGGGGAGAAACGGCCUCACGGCCCGCCCCUGGAGAGUGUCCGCCGAUGGCCCAACCAACAUAACAACUCCCAAACCCAAAAUAUUGUACGUAAAACUUCUGAAUCAGACCUUUUUUGAUGGACCAAAUCAAAAAUAAAACUUUCAACAACGGAUCUCUUGGUUCUGGCAUCGAUGAAGAACGCAGCGAAAUGCGAUAAGUAAUGCGAAUUGCAGAAUUUCCGUGAGUCAUCGAAUCUUUGAACGCACAUUGCGCCCUUUGGCAUUCCGAAGGGCAUGCCUGUUCGAGCGUCAUUAUCCUCUCUCAAACCUCGGGUUUGGUGUUGGACCGCGUUGGACCUGCCCAUGGCCAACUGGUCUCAAAGACAAUGACGGCGUCCCCGGGACCCUCUUCGCACUGAGCUUUUUGGAAGCACGCGUCGAGUUUCACGGGCCCAGGGACCCGGUCACCCCUAAAAACUUUUCAAGGUUGACCUCGGAUCAGGUAGGAAUACCCGCUGAACUUAAGCAUAUCAAUAAGCGGAGGAAAAGAAACCAACAGGGAUUGCCUCAGUAACGGCGAGUGAAGCGGCAACAGCUCAAAUUUGAAAUCUGGCCUCACGGUCCGAGUUGUAAUUUGUAGAGGAUGUUUUGGGCACCGCUCCGGGUUAAAUUUCUUGGAACAGAAUGUCAAAGAGGGUGAGAGUCCCGUCUUGGCCCGCGGUAGGACCUAUGUAAAACUCCUUCGACGAGUCGACUUGUUUGGGAAUGCAGGUCAAAAUGGGUGGUAAAUUUCAUCUAAAGCUAAAUAUUGGCCAGAGACCGAUAGCGCACAAGUAGAGUGAUCGAAAGAUGAAAAGCACUUUGAAAAGAGAGUUAAACAGUAUGUGAAAUUGUUGAAAGGGAAGCGCUGGCGACCAGACUCGAGCGCGGUGUUCCCCCUGGCUUCUGCCUGGGUUACUUCACCGUGACCGGGCCAUCAUCAGUUUUGGGGGUUGGUUAAAGAUUUGGGGAAUGUAUCCUCUCCUUCGGGGGAGGACUUAUAGCCCUGGAUGUCAUGCAGCCUCCCGGGACUGAGGAACGCGCUUCGGCGAGGAUGAUGGCGUAAUGGUUGUCAGCGACCCGUCUUGAAACACGGACCAAGGAGUCUAACAUCUAUGCGAGUGUUCGGGUGUCAAACCCUUGCGCGGAAUGAAAGUGAACGGAGGUAGGAAGGCUUGAGCCUGCACUAUCGACCGAUCCUGAUGUCUUCGGAUGGAUUUGAGUAAGAGCAUAGCUGUUGGGACCCGAAAGAUGGUGAACUAUGCGUGAAUAGGGUGAAGCCAGAGGAAACUCUGGUGGAGGCUCGCAGCGGUUCUGACGUGCAAAUCGAUCGUCAAAUUUGCGUAUAGGGGCGAAAGACUAAUCGAACCAUUGGUAAUCACUACUAGGUGGUUAAGAGUCGCGUGUGAAAAGCACCGGCUAGUCGCGAGUCCGCGGCAAGGUCGUCAAAUUGCGGGAACACCCUAAAGCCUGAGGUACCGCCGACCGGCCCGAAAGGGCGGUGAGGCACCACGGAGAGAUUUCGUGGGUAUGGUAACAAUCCAAGGGAUGGCCUAGGCAAACCCUAGACCGCUGUUAAUGGGCAAUCCGCAGCCAAGCCUGUCCCUCCCCCUCCGGGGGGCGGAGAUUGGGUGCAGUUCAUCGACUAGAUGUCGACCGGGUUCCAGGCCGAUCGAAGCCUGGAGCCUCAAGAUAUAGUCAGGCCCUCGGGGAGACCCGAGCGGAGGAACAAAGUGAAGGGGGUCGGACUCUCCUGUAGAAGCCCGCUUCACCCGAAUUCCUCCUGGCCGGUCUCUCACAAGACCGGUGAUCAA